ACGUCAUUUUGAUGACAAUUUCUUUGCAACCCCUUAUAACGCUCCCAUGCCUCAUAAAGUGAUUCACCCGGAUUUUGCUCAAAGUUAGCUAUUGCCUUCUGGAGUUU